rnacentral:rRNA from 1 species
GACGUAGGGCGCGAGCGUUGUCCGGAUUUAUUGGGCGUAAAGAGCUCGUAGGCGGCUCGUUGCGUCGGCUGUGAAAACCCGCAGCUCAACUGUGGGCUUGCAGCUGAUACGGGCGGGCUGGAGUUCGGUAGGGGAGACUGGAAUUCCUGGUGUAGCGGUGAAAUGCGCAGAUAUCAGGAGGAACACCGGUGGCGAAGGCGGGUCUCUGGGCCGAUACUGACGCUGAGGAGCGAAAGCCAGGGGAGCAAACGGG